AUUGAACGCUGGCGGCAUGCCUUACACAUGCAAGUCGAACGGCAGCGCGGGAGCAAUCCUGGCGGCGAGUGGCGAACGGGUGAGUAAUAUAUCGGAACGUGCCCAUUAGUGGGGGAUAGCCCGGCGAAAGCCGGAUUAAUACCGCAUACGACCUGAGGGUGAAAGCGGGGGGUCGCAAGACCUCGCGCUAUUGCAGCGGCCGAUAUCAGAUUAGCUAGUUGGUGGGGUAAAGGCCUACCAAGGCAACGAUCUGUAGUUGGUCUGAGAGGACGACCAGCCACACUGGGACUGAGACACGGCCCAGACUCCUACGGGAGGCAGCAGUGGGGAAUUUUGGACAAUGGGCGCAAGCCUGAUCCAGCAAUGCCGCGUGCAGGAAGAAGGCCUUCGGGUUGUAAACUGCUUUUGUCAGGGAAGAAAUCCUUUGGGCUAAUACCUCGGAGGGAUGACGGUACCUGAAGAAUAAGCACCGGCUAACUACGUGCCAGCAGCCGCAGUAA
rnacentral:rRNA from 1 species